AUUGAACGCUGGCGGCAUGCCUUACACAUGCAAGUCGAACGGCAGCGGGGACUUCGGUCCGCCGGCGAGUGGCGAACGGGUGAGUAAUGCAUCGGAACGUACCCGGAAGUGGGGGAUAACGUAGCGAAAGUUACGCUAAUACCGCAUAUUCUGUGAGCAGGUAAGAGGGGGAUCUUCGGACCUUUUGCUUUCGGAGCGGCCGAUGUCAGAUUAGCUAGUUGGUGAGGUAAAGGCUCACCAAGGCGACGAUCUGUAGCGGGUCUGAGAGGAUGAUCCGCCGCACUGGAACGGAGACACGGUGCAGACUCCGACCGGAGGCAGCAGUGGGGAAUUGUGGACAAAGGGCGCAAGCCUGAUCCAGCCAUGCCGCGUGAGUGAAGAAGGCCUUCGGGUUGUAAAGCUCUUGCGGCCGGGAAGAAAUCGCAUGGAUUAAUACUCUGUGCGGAUGACGGUACCGGCAUAAGAAGCACCGGCUAACUACGUGCCAGCCGCCGCGGUAACAC
rnacentral:rRNA from 1 species